CAUUAAUGCAGUCGAGCGAGCCGAACUAAUUGAUUACCUUCGGGUAUGAAGUUAGGGAAGCGAGCGGCGGAUGGGUGAGUAACACGUGGGUAACCUACCCUAUAGUCUGGGAUACCACUUGGAAACAGGUGCUAAUACCGGAUAAAAGGAGAGAUCACAUGAUUUCUUUUUGAAAGGCGGCGUAAGCUGUCGCUAAAGGAUGGACCCGCGGUGCAUUAGCUAGUUGGUAAGGUAACGGCUUACCAAGGCAACGAUGCAUAGCCGAGUUGAGAGACUGAUCGGCCACAUUGGGACUGAGACACGGCCCAAACUCCUACGGGAGGCAGCAGUAGGGAAUCUUCCACAAUGGACGCAAGUCUGAUGGAGCAACGCCGCGUGAGUGAAGAAGGUUUUCGGAUCGUAAAGCUCUGUUGUUGGUGAAGAAAGAUAGUGAGAGUAACUGCUCAUUAUUUGCCGGUAAUCAACCAGAAAGUCACGGCUAACUACGUGCCAGCAGCCGCGGUAAUACGUAGGUGGCAAGCGUUGUCCGGAUUUAUUGGGCGUAAAGCGAGCGCAGGCGGAAAGAUAAGCCAGAUGUGAAAGCCCUCGGCUUAACCGAGGAAUAGCAUCGGAAACUGUCUUUCUUGAGUGCAGAAGAGGAGAGUGGAACUCCAUGUGUAGCGGUGGAAUGCGUAGAUAUAUGGAAGAACACCAGUGGCGAAGGCGGCUCUCUGGUCUGUAACUGACGCUGAGGCUCGAAAG
rnacentral:rRNA from 1 species